rnacentral:rRNA from 1 species
GAUGAACGCUGGCGGCGUGCCUAAUACAUGCAAGUCGAGCGAACAGAUGAGGAGCUUGCUCCUCUGACGUUAGCGGCGGACGGGUGAGUAACACGUGGAUAACCUACCUAUAAGACUGGGAUAACUUCGGGAAACUGGAGCUAUUACCGGAUAAUAUAUUGAACCGCAUGGUUCAAUAGUGAAAGACGGUUUUGCUGUCACUUAUAGAUGGCUCCGCGCCGCAUUAGCUAGUUGGUAAGGUAACGGCUUACCAAGGCGACGAUGCGUAGCCGACCUGAGAGCGUGAUCGGCCACACUGGAACUGAGACACGGUCCAGACUCCUACGGGAGGCAGCAGUAGGGAAUCUUCCGCAAUGGGCGAAAGCCUGACGGAGCAACGCCGCGUGAGUGAUGAAGGUCUUCGGAUCGUAAAACUCUGUUAUUAGGGAAGAACAAAUGUUUAAGUAACUAUGCACGUCUUGACGGUACCUAAUCAGAAAGCCACGGCUAACUACGUG